GUUGCUGCGCAUUGUAAAAUACUUUUUACUUAAUUUUUGGAAAAAAAUCAGAAAAAUUUUGUGUUCUUUGAGUUUUCCGGAAAAAAAACAUUUUUUAAAUAUUUUUUAUUUAAAAUUUUUUGAAUUUUUUUUUUUUUUUUUUUAAAUUUUUAACAUUUUAUUUUGAUUAUUUUUUUUUUUUUUUUUUUUUUUUUAAAAAAAAAUUUUUCUUGGCAAAAAAAAGUAAAAAAUUCUGAAAUUUUUGGCAAAAUUUUAUUUAUCCCGGGGUGAACCAGGGUGGGGUGUUAUUUACACCGGGGUAAUUAACCAAUCAGAUUGCAGUAUUUUUGCUGCAUAAGAAAUAAUAAUUGUUAU
rnacentral:lncRNA from 1 species